rnacentral:rRNA from 1 species
GACUAACCGUGCGAACGUUGUUCGGAAUCACUGGGCUUAACGGGCGCGUAGGCGGCUUGUCAAGUCAGGGGUGAAAUCCUGCAGCUUAACUGUAGAAGUGCCUUUGAUACUGACGAGCUCGAGGGAGGUAAGAGUAGCUGGACCUUCUGGUGGAGCGGUGAAAUGCGUUGAUAUCAGAAGGAACGCCGGUGGCGAAAGCGAGCGACUGGAUCUCUACUGACACUGAGGCGCGAAAGCUAGGGUAGCAAACGGG